UACGGGGGGGGUAAGCGUUGUUCGGAAUUACUGGGCGUAAAGGGCUCGUAGGCGGCCAACUAAGUCAUACGUGAAAUCCCUCAGCUUAACUGGGGAACUGCGUGUGAUACUGGAUGGCUUGGAUUUGGGAGAGGGAUGCGGAAUUCCUGGUGUAGCGGUGAAAUGCGCAGAUAUCAGGAGGAACACCGGUGGCGAAGGCGGAUCUCUGGGCCAUUACUGACGCUGAGGAGCGAAAGCGUGGGGAGCGAACAGG
rnacentral:rRNA from 1 species